UGGGGAAUCUUGGACAAUGGGCGCAAGCCUGAUCCAGCGACGCCGCGUGGGUGAUGAAGGCCUUCGGGUUGUAAAGCCCUUUUCCCGGGGACGAUGAUGACGGUACCCGGGGAAUAAGCACCGGCUAACUCCGUGCCAGCAGCCGCGGUAAGACGGAGGGUGCUAGCGUUGUUCGGAAUUACUGGGCGUAAAGGGCGCGUAGGCGGCCUGGUAAGUCGGGUGUGAAAGCCCGGGGCUCAACCCCGGAACGGCACCCGAGACUGGCGGGCUCGAGACCGGGAGAGGAGGGUGGAAUACCCAGUGUAGAGGUGAAAUUCGUAGAUAUUGGGUGGAACACCGGUGGCGAAAGCGGCUCUCUGGCCCGGUUCUGACGCUGAGGCGCGAAAGCGUGGGGAGCAAACAG
rnacentral:rRNA from 1 species